UAUUGCUCGGAGGCAGCAGUGAGGAAUAUUGGUCAAUGGGCGCGAGCCUGAACCAGCCAAGUCGCGUGAGGGAAGACGGUCCUAUGGAUUGUAAACCUCUUUUGUCGGGGGGCAAAAGACGCCACGCGUGGCGUUCCGAGAGUACCCGAAGAAAAAGCAUCGGCUAACUCCGUGCCAGCAGCCGCGGUAAUACGGAGGAUGCGAGCGUUAUCCGGAUUUAUUGGGUUUAAAGGGUGCGCAGGCGGAAGAUCAAGUCAGCGGUAAAAUUGAGAGGCUCAACCUCUUCGAGCCGUUGAAACGGGUUU
rnacentral:rRNA from 1 species